rnacentral:rRNA from 1 species
UACGUAGGGGGCAAGCGUUGUCCGGAAUCAUUGGGCGUAAAGCGCGCGUAGGCGGCCCUGUAAGUCCGCUGUGAAAGUCAAAGGCUCAACCUUUGAAAGCCGGUGGAUACUGGAUGGCUAGAGUACGGAAGAGGCGAGUGGAAUUCCUGGUGUAGCGGUGGAAUGCGCAGAUAUCAGGAGGAACACCAAUAGCGAAGGCAGCUCGCUGGGACGUUACUGACACUGAGGCGCGAAAGCGUGGGGAGCGAACAGG